GAGUUUGAUCAUGGCUCAGAUUGAACGCUGGCGGCAUGCUUUACACAUGCAAGUCGAACGGGCUUAGGGGCUUGCUCCUAAGUUUAGUGGCGAACGGGUGAGUAAUACAUCGGAACGUACCGUGUAGUGGGGGAUAACGUAGCGAAAGUUACGCUAAUACCGCAUACGAUCUACGGAUGAAAGUGGGGGACCUUCGGGCCUCACGCUAUACGAGCGGCCGAUGUCUGAUUAGCUAGUUGGUGAGGUAAAGGCUCACCAAGGCAACGAUCAGUAGCGGGUCUGAGAGGAUGAUCCGCCACACUGGGACUGAGACACGGCCCAGACUCCUACGGGAGGCAGCAGUGGGGAAUUUUGGACAAUGGGCGAAAGCCUGAUCCAGCCAUGCCGCGUGUCUGAAGAAGGCCUUCGGGUUGUAAAGGACUUUUGUCAGGGAGCAAAACUUAGAGGUUAAUAACCUUUGAGGUUGAGAGUACCUGAAGAAUAAGCACCGGCUAACUACGUG
rnacentral:rRNA from 1 species